UUUUUUUUUCUCUUUCCCCUGUACUUUUGUUACAUCAUUUUUUUGCUGUCUAGACAUUUUUGUGGUAAGUCAUUUAUAUAACAAUCUCUGUUGCAACAUAAUACUUUUUUUCUGAACAGUUAACCUUGCACAUGAUAUUUAAAUAGUAAUGUUUAAUUUUUCUUUCUUUUGCUCUUUUGAAAACUUUAACUGCUUUAGCUAAACCUCAGCCAAAUUCCUGGUUUUGCUGGGCAACAGCACCUAUUUAAUACAAUUUUUUAUAGCGAACCCAAAGGCUCUUUUCAGAGCCAUCCACAUUGCGUCACUGGUAAGUCAUUUUCAAUUACUUUUGAAUCAGUAAUUGCCUAAUGACAUUAUAACAUUGUUUUUCUGUUAAUGUAACAGAUAUUGUUUACCAAUGUUUAUUGUUGUUUGUCAGUUUUGGCCAUUUCAGCAUGUUUGAAAUAGGGGUGUAACGGUUCAAAUUACUCACGUUUCGGUGCGUAUCACGGCUUAGGGUCACAGUUUCAGUACACAUUGGUCACAACAGGCUGCUUUACAAAAAUAAAAACCUAAGCCGUUUUUAACCUCUGCCAAAAUCAACAUUUUCACUUAAGAGCACUUGUAUUAUUAUACUAUAUACCAGCUUUACUGUGCAAUUCAAUAUGAACAUAAAAUAGCUUAGAACACUGGAUUACUUUUUAUAUUAUAUGCCGCUAUCUUCAAGUUUUUUUUGCAAGAAGAUAGGUUUGUUAAAAUUCAAACACAGAAGGCAAUUUGUGCUGUUUCUGUCUCACCUGCGAUCGUGUGCUAUCAACAAAACCCUGGUGAUGACGUGUAAGGGACUCGUCAUAUUAGAUGUAUUGCCUUAGGCAUACAGCACUUGCGAAUUUUACAGUUUUGUCCACAUUUUCUUGAGCAUCGCUGCUGCAGUAGACUUAAAUGCAGCUGGGGAUGACUCUGUUAGCGUCUUUUCUCCUUCGUUUGCCGUGCUAAACGGUCUGUGAAACACACAAACACGCGAGGAUGAACUGUGAGGUUGGCAACAAAUUUGCAUACUUCGAGUUGAUUGGACAGGUACUCUCACCUUAACACAUGCAGAGAUUAUUCAGAACCAUACAUUAGCUUUUUUAUGCAUCGUUUUUUCACCAAACUAUAAUAGAAAUGUGCGGUCGAAUUAAACACGGUGCACGUGCGUCCCAAACUGUGGGCGGAAAACAGGACGAUUCGAUUCUUUACUGAGAACCGUUACACUCCUAGUUUGAAAGUAAAACUGACUUUAUUGAAGAUGUACUCCACCUUCAGAAAUAAAAAUUAUAGAUUUUUUUACUUAGCCCCAUCUAAGUCAUCUAAGGUGUUUAUGCCUUUUUUUCAUCAGCUGAACACAAUCAGAGUUCUAAUUAUUAAUAUACUGGCUCCUUUUUGCUUUGUAAUAAGUUUGAUCAUGGACCAAACAUUUACGAUCUCAAAAAAGUCCAUCCAUCCAUCCAUCAUUAAAGUAAUCCAUAUACAACCCAGUGGUUUAAUAAAUGUAUUUAGAAGCAAAGUAUAAGGUUUAUAAGAAAAAGUUUAGUUCUGAGCACUUUUAGUGAUUAGUUACAUAUACGUUAGCCUGGUUAGCCAGACCUACAUCAAGAUGUAAGGUCUGGCAACUCUUCACACAAACGGCUCAAUGCAAGGGGCGGGAUAUAAGGUUGUCCCUCAAAAUGCCUCUGCACGCAAUAGGAUAGCGCUAUGACGGAUCAGAGCAACGAAGAAGGUGACGUAGUUACCGUAACCAGUUGGCAAAACUCCAAACACAUCUUUCUUGCUUAAAAAUGACUUCAGUAGGGUUUAUUUGCUCUUCUCUCAAAGAAAAACAUAAGUCUAAGUCCUCCAGAGUCGCGGCCAAAGCCGCUUCAAAAGAAAGCUGUUCGCCAGCAGCAGCAGCCAUUCUCUGUUUUCAAGUAGGAACCGUUGCAGCUCUGUCGUCAUCAUGUUAAGCCCGCCCCACAGACGCUACACACGAUGUGAUUGGCCUGACCAAAUUUUGGUUUUUGGACCGGUUAAGUGUAUUGUGAGUGCCUAGACUAAACCCUGGCAGCAAAUAUAUUUUGCGGCCGCUAGGGUGCGUCUAGAUUUCUAGGCUACAUAUACGUAAUUUUAUAAAACAAAAUCAACUAUAGAUUUAAAUAUAGUGGUAUGUAAAAUCUUAUUGGUUCUUGUGUUUCAUCAUGAGUUGUGACAAAACUGACAGUCGUUAGACACUAAAUGUAUUAUUGUCUGUUUAUUUAAGGUAUGUUUUGUAACUAAAAGGUCAAAAUAUGAAUUGUUUUUUUAUUAACCCACUGGAUACAUUAAAUUUUGAUUACUUUAAUAAUGGAUGGAUGCAGUUUUUGGAGCUUCUAAACAUUUGGUCUCUGAUCAGAGCCAUUACAAAGCAAGGAACAGCCAGGGUAUUAUUUAAUAUAGGUCUGGUUGUAUUCAACUGAACAAAGCAAGACAAACAUCUUGGAUGACAAGGGGGUGAGUUAAAAAAAAAAAUUAAUUCUGAAGGUGGCAUUUUACAGUUUAGGUUCUAUUGUGUUGCCUGAUGCGAUAAUUUAUUAAAUUAACAAUCUUUACAUUAAUACCACAGGAAAGGGAAUAUUUUGAACAGGAAUAUCAUAUAAUGAAUUGUUUAUUCUGAAGCAUAUGUUACUAACUAGAUCAUUUUGGGUACGACUAAAUAAGAUCAAGACUUAAUUUUUACCAAUUAUUAUAGGACAGCAGAAACACUGAAGUUUGAAUGACAUAAUACUGCACAUUGUGGACCUUUGUAUUUAGAAACUAUUUAGACCCCCAACACAGUUCAAUUUUGUUAGGUCUCAAUCUGAUACUACAAUAAUCCCCCCCCCUCUUAUUAUUAAUCUGCACUUAGUACCCCAUUAUGAGAAACUGAAAACAGGAUUUGGAAAUGUCUAAAUGUAUUUAAAAGAAAAAAAAAAAUGAAAUUAUUCAGACACUUAACUUGGUAGUUAGUUGAAGCACUUUUUGCAGCAAGUACAGCCUCGAGUCUUUUUGGGAAUGACGCAACAAGCUUUGCACAUCUGGAUUGAAGGAAUUUCUGCCAUUCUUCCUUUUAAAUCCUUUCAAGCUCAGUGAGUUUGGAUGUGAACUGUCGGCUGACAGCCGUUUUCAGGUCUCUCCAGAGAUGCUUGGUGAGGUUGAAGUCAGGGCUUUGGUUGGUCCACUUCUCACAUAGUUGUCCCUAAACCACUACUGUGUUGUCCUUGUUCUUUGCUUAGGGUCAUUUUCAUAAGGUUUUAGUGAGGAUAUCUCAGUGGACUCGAGUCAAGGUGUAGAAAAUCUCGGCAUUGAUCAACACAAAUAAAUGGCACCUAAACAAAAUUUCUAGUGUUAUCGCAAAGGGUCUGAAUACUUAAGUAAAUGUGAAAUUAUUUUUUUCCUUUAAAACAUUUUACAGAAAUGUCUUAAAUUCAGUUUUCACUUUGUCAUUAUGGGGUACUAGAUGUUGAUUAAUGAGAAUGAUUUAAAUUCUUUUUUUUUUUUUGAGUCAGAAGAUUUUAAUUAGGCCUUGAAAAGCUGCAUCUGACAUGGGACUUUUAUUAACACACCCCCAGGUUCACAGACAAGGUUUAGUAAAACACAUCUUAAGAUAUGCCAGUGCCAUUGAUUUGUCUUAUGAUACACACCAGUAAUGUCUUCUUCAAAGGAGUGCUUUUUAAAGAUGCUUAAUAGGCUUGUCUGUGAAACCAGUCCACAGUGUUUAAUAUUGUGACAACUGCAUUAUCUUUGGAAAGUAAUAUAAUUUUAAAUUCUUGAGGUGUAUAUAAAUUAUUAAAAGGAUUAAUGCAAACAUAACAAAUUUGCAAAUAAAGUAAAGGGGUUUAAGUACUUUCUAAAUACACUGUAAAUGUGGUCAUGCCUACUUUGAACUAAUUUGUCGUUUUUGUUGAUUUUGUUUUUCCUAGAUUGGACAUCUAAUUCAUCUUUCAGCUUGCCUCUUAAAAACUGCCAGGAAACCCAAAAAAACACCGAUUCAACUAAAAAAAAGCCUAUAAUUUCUACCCAAAAAAAACGACCCAUUUUUUUACCCCACCCAGCCAAUCUGUUGCCCUAACCCCAAAACACUGACUUUCCCCAAAACAGAACGUCCCUUUAACUUUUUGCUUUGACAGAAAGAGUAAGAGCAGAACUACCUACAGCUCCAGUGUGCCCUGCUGCCUUGAGUGUCUUCACAAAGCAACGUUGAUUAGAGGACUGCGUUGGGAAAUCAACACCAUCAACACACACAAUAAUUUACUAUAGUUUUAAAAUUACAUAAUUCCUGUAGUCUUUUGGACUGCUUAUAAUAGAUAAUACACAUUACAGUACUUUUAAAAGUCAUUAAUAUAUCAGUAAAAAAAAAAUUGUUUUUGCAAGUUCAUCUUUGAAACGUAUUACAUUUAUAUCUGAGUCUUAUCACAUUUGCCUAUACUCUACUAAUUAAUUGCAUUAGUAAUAUUGCCUUUGGUUAUCAUUUCUGUAAAAUAUUGGGGUUAACAGUUCAACAGUUCCAUUGCUAUAGUCUUGUGUGUUUGUAUAUCUAAUUUCUUGACUGUUUUAACUGUGAAAUUUUAGUACAGUACUUUAAUAUAUCAGUAAAAUAUUCUAAGUUUGACUGUUGUUGUAACUGCUAUUUGAAUAGACUACGUUUAAAGGUCAUUAAAAUAUUUUGGUUUGCCAAGUUCCUCUUUGAAUCUUACCACAUUGUAACAUUUACCUUUAUUAAUUGAUUGCAUUACUGAUAUUGCUUUUGGUUAACAUUUUUGUACAAUAUAGGGGUUGACGGUGUUUGACAGUAUAACAGUUCAAUUGCUAUAGUUUUGUGUGUUCGUAUAUUUAAUUUGUUGACUUGUUACUGAAAUUUCAGUCCUGUACUUUAAAAGCUAAUUAAUAUAUCAGUAAUAUAUUUAAAGUUUGACUCUUGUUGUAAUUGAUAUUUGAGUGCAGUACAUUUAAAGGUAAUUAAAAUAUC